GUAUCCAUGUCGACCAACAUGGUUGACGAUCUCAUCAUCAAAACCAUCUAUCAUCGCGCAAUGAGCGAUCUCUGGUUGUGUCCACGUCGGCAGGGUGGUACUGUUUGCGCUGGCCAAUUGGAAGGAAACGUUCCCUUCGUAGAAAAAAAAAGGCGUGGUCAUUUCCUUCCUCGAGAAGACAGAGAGAGGACGCACGCCACCUCCUCCCCACCUUCGCCAGAUACGACCGCCCAUUCAUCGCCGCCACCCAUCGCGUCGCCCGCCCACGACCUUCUCUCAUCUUCCACCCGCGACGGCGUCCCGUCCACCUCGAGAUGUACGGCGACGGCGUCCCGAUGGAGAACCCUGGCCGCAGCUGGUCGCCGGCGCUCCUCCGCUGCGCGCCCCAGGUGACCCCCACGGAUCCGCGGCGCCGAGGGCGGCGCACACGGUCCGCGACCUGGCGGAGGAGGGGAAGAAGCGGGCCGUGUUGCUCCUCGUCUUCGCCUUCGGCCUCGCCUUCCUCAUGUCCAUGACAAGCUCUUCAGUCUGGAUUAACUUCCCAUUCGCCAUAUCUUUGAUAGUUCUGUUUCGCUACCUAUCACUUGACUAUGAUUUCCGUAGAAAGAGCACAACAACCACAGAUCGUGAUGCCAGUCGCCCACUUGCCAAAACAAAAAAGUAUUGAAUUAAGCAAACCUUCACUUACCCAGAAGAAUGGAAAUUCCAGUUGGAGGAGCAAGGUGAACUCACCUCCAGUUGAAGCAGCAUUUGAACAGUUCACAAGGCAUCUUGUCACCGAGUGGGUAACAAAUCUUUGGUACUCCCGUAUAACACCUGAUAAGGACGGACCGGAGGAACUCAUCAGCAUAGUUAAUUCUGUCCUUGGAGAGAUUUCUAACUGGGGAAGAAGCAUUAACAUCAUCACUCUGUUAACCAGGGACCUGGUCUCAUAUGCAAUAAUUUGGAGCUUUAUCAUUCCUGUGAAGCUAAGAUUGGAAAAGAGAAGUUUGUUAGACUCCCGACGGAGCGUCGUGAUGCUGAACUGAAACUCGGCCUUGUAGCUCAAAGCAAGUUGCAUCCAGCUUUAUUUUCAGCCAGUGCUGAAUACAAGUUUUGCUCCUCUUGAUGAUUGGAAGUUAGCAUUGCUCCUGUUAGAGCAACAGUAUACCAAAACAAGAUCCAACCGAGCUAAGGAUGCUCUCUCUUGCUUUCCCAACAACUUCAGAAGAGAUUUCUGGAUCAGGUGUCACUGUCAUAGCUUACUUGGCAUAACCUUCCUUCUUUUGAUGGUUGUCAACACACAUUUAAGUCACACAUACACCAUACAAGAUGCAGAGCCUUUGGUAUAUGCAGCCGCACUCCCUUGCCGCCACCUGCUACUUCAAGUCCGCCGACGGCCACGUUGGAAACUAGGGCUUCUCCAUAGCCCGCCUCAAUUCUACCUCGCCCUCCUUGCUGGAACAUAUUUUUGCAGGCCAGGAGGAAGCUUGAGAACUUGCUGCCCGAUCUCGCCAGGGCGAUGAGAUGGAGGCCUGCUCACUGCUGCUCCACUGUUCGCUACACUUUCAGGGCCUCAGGGAGCACCUCCUUACUGACGACCUCUUCCUCAACAAGCUCGUCGUGGAGUGCGUCGUUGGGUCAACUCCAAUGUCCUUUAUUUUGAGAAUUCAUCAUUCACCGCUCUGUAGACAGAUCGUUGCUGACCGUCAUUACCACCUAUAUAUACUCAAUGUAGUGUGAUUCUUAAGGCCGUUAAGAGUCGUACAUACGUCAAUUAGUGUGCUUCUUACGCUGGUUUUUGACAGUAUCUACAAAGUGUAUGCUAUGAUCAAAACUGGCGUCCCCUUCCUUUUGAACCAGCUAUACAGUUGAUUGCUACUAAACCAAAUUUAAUCUACUUUUAGC
rnacentral:rRNA from 1 species